UACAGAGGGGGCAAGCGUUGUUCGGAAUUACUGGGCGUAAAGGGCGCGUAGGCGGCCUUCUAAGUCGAACGUGAAAUCCCUGGGCUCAACCCAGGAACUGCGUCCGAUACUGGAAGGCUUGAAUCCGGGAGAGGGAUGCGGAAUUCCAGGUGUAGCGGUGAAAUGCGUAGAUAUCGGGAGGAACACCGGUGGCGAAGGCGGCUAUCUGGACAGAGUCUGACGCUGAGGCGCGAAAGCUAGGGGAGCAAACAGG
rnacentral:rRNA from 1 species